CUCAAAAUUGUGAUCUGAAUCUGCCUCCCAUGUUUCAAUUCUCUUUUGUUCUCCCAAAAUCUUUAUGGGUUCUUCAUAAAGCUUCAGCAGGAGGUGCAUUUUCAACUCCAGUACAGACUGUUCUGAAGAGGUUCUCUCAACCUCGAGCUGUCCUGGUCCUAGUUUCUGGCCCUGCUAUCCUCAUCAAUGGAGUACACAUGUUAGCAGCAGGUCUCACAGAUAUUUUCUGGCAAGACAGUCAGUGCUAAACCCAGAGUUUGGGGGUUCUCCAUGAUUUGAACAAAAUACAACUGGGCAGUUGGACUCUGCAGUCCUGGGCUGCUUCAGUCCAGCUCCUCCUGUCUCCACGUCUGACUUACCUUCUCCCAUCCAUAUCUUUGUCUGGAGGCUCUGCAGCUGUGAUGACAGAGCAACAUCUUUCAAGACCGUUUCAGUGCAGAAUAUCAAACAUAGCUGCUGUUACAGAGCGUGCAAGACUGAUCUCAAAGACAGAAGUUCAGCUGAGAAAUCCAUGGUUACAAAGCUUACCACAGGGAAACAGUAACAGGGCAUAUCUGGAUCUCUGUGUUUGUUAGUGAAGAGCUUUCAUGUUCUAAACUGCAGGCCCCAACCUCACCUGGACAUCUCCUGGCAGAUAGCCCCACAAGUCACACCACAGGGAAGACAUCUGCAUGCAAGGAUGCCACCUUGCAUGUACAGUAAAUGUGCCAGGGGUAAGCAGAGCCCUUACUUUGCAAAGGUCACAGUCAGAAGUUCCUUGCAAGGGCUGAAUUGACCAGCAGUUCCUGAAAAGCAAGACUUGAUUAUUGACUGUGCUUUGCCAAGAAUUACAUAUCAUUAUGUUGAUUCAUGUUGCUACUCUCUUUGCAGCCCAUGAGGUCCUGGGAGUCACCCUCCCUCUCAGUAAGAGCAGGGGGGAGGCUCACUUGAAUGCCCAGCUGCUGGUCUGCAGUGUCUUAGAAGGGAUCAUUUCCCUUCCACCAGAGUCCUGAGUCCCUGAAGGAGGUGCCAGACCCACAUGCCUGCCUGCAAGGCUCACAGCAGCAUCUUUUAGAUGAGAGAAAGGGAAAGGACAGCUAACACUCCCCCACAUCAGCACAGCGUGUCCCAGAAACCUCUAAAGGAGUUGCUGUUAAUUUUCCCUCCCACAGUCUCCCUGGAUAGUGUGGGCACAAGAGUGUGGAAAAAGCUUUCAAAGCUGUGACUUGCGAUUUCCCCACGGGGGCUCACAUAGGAAGGUUAGGGACAAUGUUGGGAAGUGCACGAGAAGAGACCCUUGCCUGCUCCUUGCAAAUUGCUCUCCCAUGCAGUUAAGUAAGUAUCCCUCUCACACUCCCCCAGAACAGGGAGGAUAUGACAUUUUAUUUAAUGUAAAGUCACCUGAAGACUUGCCAGCACCUUGCUCCUGCCUCACAUGGCACAUUGCUGCCUCUGGUUGUAGGGCUGUGCUGGGAAUGCAGAGGUGAGGCAUUUAAAUUCAGAAAAUAAACUUCCCAGGGAGAGGUGAGUGAUGCUUUCCCCAGUGAUUUCAGACUUGGCCUUGCCAUGCACCCCAGGAAGAGUUGCCACGGGAGCGGUGAAGAGACCACAUAGGGAGUGAGAGGCUGGGAUCGGGACAGUAUCUGGGCACGGGGAGGGGGAGGAGGUGGGCCAAAUUCUGGCUCCCUCCAAAUUAUCUGGCUGGUGCUGAGGCGUAUAAAUGUGAACACGAGUGGGACAUCUCUAUGACAGUACUGCAAUGUGCAGGAUCCAGUGAGACACGACAACUUGUUGCUUAAAUGGUAAUUGAAAAUGGAUGAAAACAUGAGGAUAAAGGACCCUCAUCAUCAGUCUGACUUCAGGGGAGGAUCCCCUCAGGUACUGGAAGGCUCUGAUUAGGUCACCCUGAAGCCUUCUCUUCUCUCAGCUGCUCCAGCAUUCCUUGUUAGCAAAUGCUCUCAUGCACCCCGACGUGGAGUCAGGAUGUCAGAUCUGAAACAUCUUAAAUGAAGACAUGGUAUUUGCAACACAUGGCCCUAUUUGGCAUCCUGGGUUACAUCUGUGCAUUUUCUCUGACUCUAAAGGAAAGGGUGAAAGGAUGAUCUGUGAGGCUGUGUUGUGAUCUUCAGUCCCAAUCUGUCCCCCUCUCUGUGCUGUCACCACUCCGUUUGGACAUGAAGCUGAAGGGGUGUAUGUGCCUAUUAACAGGCAGGCAGAAGCCAGGCUGCACUUUGAACAUAUGGGACCCAUUAGCUUUUAAAUCUCUCCCAGAGAUUGUCCAUACUUAUGAUGUCCACAAAAGAAAACCCGUGUGCUUGGACAUAUUGAGUGAAAUUGAGACUAUCAAAUAUGUUUACACAACGGUGGAAGACAAGUAAUUGAGAAAAAUGUUUAGAUAAAUGUUUAUUGCUCUGACAACUAUCACCAACGUUUUUGUACAGAAACCUGGUUUUUAUCAAUAUGUUUAAUGCUUUCGCUUGUCAUUUUAACCAAGGGGUUAAGCAGAGGGCAUUUAUUUUGUAUGGCAUUUAAACAAGAUUCUGAGCAAUGCUGGAGGAUGGAUGACUAGAAGGUAAAGUAAUGUUGCCCAGUAUAACCCUUAAAAUAACUCAAACUCAAGAGUUCAUAGUCUGAGGUACAGUGGCUCACUAACCUCCAAUAAAUAUCUUGUGGGAGUGCAACAUGUGUCUUACAAUUAUAGAGCAACACCAAGAGAGAUCUGUGUCCUAGUUUCAGCUGAGGUGGAGAUAGUUUUCUUCCUAGUAGCUGAUACAGUGCUGGGGUUUGAAUUUAGGAUGAGAAUAAAUUGAUAACACACUGAUCUUUUGGUUGUUGCUAAAUAGCUCUUACCCUACAUUAAGGGCUUUUCAGUCUCCCAUAGUCUGCUAAUGAGCAGGUGUACAAAAUGCUGGGAUGAAUGAGCCAAACUAGCCAAAGGGACAUUCUAUACCAGCGUAUAAACUUGAGAAUUUGGCCAUGAGCUUCUGGUGGCCACUUGUGCAUGGGCUGGGCAUCAGUCAGUGGGGAGUGGGAAGUUGUACUGCGUCAUCAUUUGUCUUUCUUGGAUUUUAUUCUUCUCUUUCUUUCCUUUUCCUUACUAU